rnacentral:rRNA from 1 species
AUGAAUGUAAAUAUUCGAUAUUUACUAAAAAGGGAUACUGGAUAUUUUGGAUUGAAAAUUUACUUGUCCGACCAGCUUCUUGGUACUUGUAAGUUAGUACAACUCUUGGUCAAUGUGGAUGAGGAAACUGACCUGAAACAUCCUAUUUCCUUCACGUAUAAAUGGCUCCCUCCUGCGGAUGAUAAGGAUGAAGAUCGCCGUCAGCCCAAGGGCCUUAACUUUCUCCAUGAUGCCAACCUGCCGGUGAUCUACAAGCAGGCCUUCAACAUCUACUGGACUAGCUGCAGGGUCAGUUUGAGCCUUCACGAGCUCGACAUCGGAGCCAGCACUCUACAUGCUUAUCGACGCGGUGGCCAUCGAGGUCAAACUUGUCCGGAAAUAUUUGUCGGAGUAAUGGAUGUAUCUAUACGCAUUUUAGUUUUAGACACAUCCAUUUUUAUGCAUUUCUUCGACAUGUACUGUGAUUUGUGA